AAGGAAAGGGUCAGAGCAUUUGAUUAAGCAAGGAGAGAGAAACCUAGAGAGAGAAAAAUUCAGCAACUCAAGACCACCGAUCAUCGCUUUCGACGAUGGGGCUUCGAUUCUUCUCAGCGUCCGAGGUUGUGGAAGAUGACUUUCCCAUCGUCACAUUUAUCAGAAUGGUAAACCUUCACAAAUUCUAGCAGUUGAAGUUGAGCCUCAAGGAUGCUCUUUUAAUCCAGAGGAUAAGAGUAACAAGGACUCCUUGGCACAAGCUGUUGCAGAAGAGAUGAAGAAAAUUUAUAAAAAAGAGCUGAAGCCUGAGCCAAUUCCUUUAACUGUUCCUGGAGAACCAGUCACUGAAGAUGAUAAAUAUUUUCUGGAAGUGGACAAUGAAGACGAUGAGGAAAUGGACGAGGAAAAUCAAACUGAAGAUGGGAAUAUCGAAGAUGAAAAAAGUUACUGAGGAUGAAGUGGAUCUUUAAUAUGACUUAUUCAAUAAACUCAGCAACUCUGUUGUCAAAGAUGGUUUUAUUCAAAAGGAAGAACUUCAACUUGCAUUAUUUAAGAAUAGUAUGAAGAAAAGCCUUUUUCUUGACAGAAUGUUUGAUCUCUUUGAUGUCAACCACAAUGGAUGCAUUGAGUUUGGAGAGUUUGUUCGAUCAUUGAGUGUCUUUCACCCUAGAACUCCUGACAAAGAUAAAAUGAAGUGUAAGCGAUACCAUAACUUAUAUUUAAGCCCGAAGUUCCUAGAUAGCUCAAUAACUUGUUUUGCAGUAAAUUUAAAGGGUUGUUUAGUGAACUAAGCUGGUUUUUGCAAAAAACUUUGGUUAAACCAUUUCUUCUUUUGAUUAUGUCUACGUUGAUUUCCACGCUCCUUAGUGUGGUCACUGCAAGCGUCUCUCUCCUGAGGUAUCCCACUUCAUUUUUUGGAUUGAAUUGAAUGAUUAUAAGUUUUCUAUAUGAUUGAGUUUUGAUUUUGGGUUAAAUUGAAUGAUUAUAAGUUUAUUAGCUGAUAAAGUUUUGAUUUUUUGAUUAUAUUAUAUGCUUUUUGGGUGAUAAAGUUUUGAACUUUUGAUUUUUAUGCUUCUUGGAUUAUAAACUACUUUUGAUUAUAAUUGUUUUCUUGGAUGAUAAAGUUUUGAUCUUUUUGAUUUGGCUUUGCAACUAUUCUGGGUUGUCUUUGGUCUUCCUUCUAAUGUUGAGCCUUCACUACCAGGAGCGUGUGAUAGGUUUGAGCCUUUUUCUCUUCUCUGCUUACCUCAUUAUAAGUUAAGUGUUCUACAUUGGUAACUUUUGAGUUGCUACUUGUUGGUACAUAAUUGGCAUGCUUUGUCACUUUAGAAAGAAUAAUUACCAGUGAAUGUCAACAUGUAAACUGAUGAUCCUGAAAUUUCUUUUGCUAAAGUAAAGGUCUUUAUAUUGGCUUCUAAUCCAUGGAUGAUGAUGUUUAGGAAUCUAGGGCAUCCCUCCCUUUCUACACAUACCCCACCACCACCACCACCACCACCAGUCCACCACAGUAAGAUAAGUCUUGAUAGUGUAACCAUUUGAAGCGACUUUUCAAAUAUUGGUACAACUCUAUUGGCAUACACUAGAAAUCAAAGUUUCUCUGAUCAAAAUGAAAAGUAGUGCCUGAUCUUUUUCCGUACUUACUAUCUCUUUUUUGUUUACAACAGGCUUUGUCUUGCUUUCAUGGGUAGAACAUGGAGGCUGGUUCAUUCAUUGGGAACUCUUAUCUUAAAUGUCAGUCUGCAUUAUUUCAUCUCAUCAUAUUGCAGAUGCUGAUAGUUGGCCAAAAGCUUAUGAGUGUAUAUCUUGCAGUUAUUUAGAUACUAUAUUAUGACUGCUGUUAUGCUCUUAAACUAAGCUAAAAUUUUGUAGAGUUGGUGGAUUUGCACUUGCAAGUUAAUGCCAAGUACAUUAAGAUUAAGACUUUGUUGUUGACCUUUGAACUAUGCGUCUAUAUGUUUUCCAUUUCUAUACAACUAUACAAGUAUAUAUGAAAUAUAUAUUUGUAAUCUUUGAACUGUAUUUUUAUCCGGGACAAAGGUCCUGACCGUGGAACAUGAAUAUGAUUUUCAGUACUUGGUGGACUGCUGGUAGAUGUAUAAACACUAUGAAGUGCUAAACUUCUUUAUUGUGUACUUUGUCUCUGAAGAGCUUAGUAAUUUUUUAUUGAACAAUUGAGGA